rnacentral:rRNA from 1 species
GGCGCACGGGUGCGCAACACGUACAGAACCUUCCUUUAAGCGGGGGAUAGCCCGGAGAAAUCCGGAUUAAUACCCCAUAGUAAUAUUUGGUGGCAUCAUCAGAUAUUUAAAGAUUUAUCACUUAGAGAUGGCUGUGCGUCUGAUUAGGUAGUUGGUUGGGGUAAUGGCCCACCAAGCCUUCGAUCAGUAACUGGUGUGAGAGCACGACCAGUCACACGGGCACUGAGACACGGGCCCGACUCCUACGGGAGGCAGCAGUAAGGAAUAUUGGUCAAUGGAGGCAACUCUGAACCAGCCAUGCCGCGUGAAGGAUGAAGGUCCUCUGGAUUGUAAACUUCUUUUAUGUGGGAAGAAAUGCAUUCUUUAUAGAGUGUUUGACGGUACCAUAGGAAUAAGCACCGGCUAACUCCGUGCCAGCCGCCGCGG